AAAAAAAUCCUAAAACCCCAAAACAUCAAAGAAAAAAUGUCGACCUUCGCCGCUGCUAGGUCCGUCCUCCGAUCUGCCGCCGGCAGAACCUCCUUGGGCUCCCGAAUCUCAGCCGCCGCCAGAUCCAAACCACCGUCUUCACCGUUCCGUAUCCCCAGAGAGAAUCUGAAUCGUCUCUCUCGUCCAACAUUCAGACGGUCGGCCGUUGAGAUGAGUCGCUGCGUAGAAUCGAUGCUUCCUUAUCACACCGCGACGGCCUGCGCAUUGCUCAAUUCCAUGCUUUCCGUCUCUUGCCGCACCCAGGGUUGGAAUCUUGAAGAUUGCAAUGAUGAUGUAUGAUGAAUAUCAGAAUGGUUGAGCGAAAACUAAUGCGCCCUAGAACAAGGUAGAUGAUUGUUCUGUUGGGACGCGAUGCAUUGAGGCAAUCGCAUUUCUUUCCAUUCGUUUUUCAUGGAUUAAAUCAGACUUUGUGACAGUUACUGAAGCCAGUUGAAUUUGUUGGAGUUAAAAUUUGAAGUGAAUCCGAUGGGUGAUUUUUCUGUUCGGGCGCAGUGCAUUGAGGCAAUCUUAUUUCUUUCCAUUUGUUUUUCAUGGAUUAAACCAGGCUUUGUGACAGUUACUGAAGGCAGUUGUUGUAAUGACUGAGAAAAUCCCAGACCUUAAA